GACGUAGGGCGCGAGCGUUGUCCGGAAUUAUUGGGCGUAAAGAGCUUGUAGGCGGUCUGUCGCGUCUGCUGUGAAAAUCCGGGGCUCAACCCCGGACUUGCAGUGGGUACGGGCAGACUAGAGUGUGGUAGGGGAGACUGGAAUUCCUGGUGUAGCGGUGAAAUGCGUAGAUAUCAGGAGGAAUACCGGUGGCGAAAGCGACUCUCUGGACGGCAACUGACGCUGAGGCACGAAAGCGUGGGGAGCAAACAGG
rnacentral:rRNA from 1 species